rnacentral:tRNA from 1 species
GCCUUCAUGGUGUAGUGGUCAGCACGCUCAACAUAUAUGCGAGAGGUCCGUGGUUCGAGUCCCAGCGAGGGCA